AGGGCCCUGUGGGGGUGGGGGGGCAGAACCGUCCGCCCCUUGCGGACACCGCAGCUCAGGGCUUUCUGCAAACUUCGUUCUUUUUCCAAAUUCUAGAUGCGGGGUUUUCCGGCCUGUAGCCCGGGUCCCGGGGGGGAGGUGGACACAGCUGCACCAACCACGGCCUUGGGGCCCCUGCGGGCGGGGCCGGUGUGGACCGGCUUCCCGCCGANGGGUGGGGCGGGGGGCAGGCUGUGGGCCCGGCAGGGCCCUGGCACCCCCGAGGGCCUGGCCACUGAGGUUGUCCCAGUGACGUAGAGCCGGGCCCCCCUGAGGGCAGGCUGGGCGGUGGAGCUUCGGGGACUCGCGGCCACAGGUGCACCCCCAGAAAUGCAGGUGGGUCCAGUUUCGAGGUCUCUGGGGCCCUGAGGGGCCCCGUGGGACAAGCUCCCCUGGGGAUGGGGGCCCCGCGGGUCUCCCCUGGAGGUUCCCUCCUGCACUGGCCCGAGGCCGCCUUCCAGCAGCAGGAGUAGGGGGGCAGCGGCCUGACCCUGUCACCUCGGGGCUGUCCUGCUGGGGACCGGAGCCCGGGGCUGCACACCUCCGGGGCCUCCACUGCGGUAGCAGCCUUAACCCCCUUAACAUUUAAUGCCAUUUCCCAAAUAAAAAGUCCAAGAACUGCCACAAACAGGAAGCGCCCCUUCAGCGGGUGGCGCAGGCCUUGGUGCCUCGCAUCGCAUCCAGGUGUCAGGCAGGUGUCAGGAGGUUCGAUGGGCCCCAGGUGUCAGGUGUCAGGUUGGAGGCUCCAUGGGGCCAGGCAGCAGGGGCCAGAUAGGAGGCUCCAUGGGCCCCGGCGGCAGGUGUCAGGAGGCUCCGUGGGCGCAAGCAGCAGGUGUCAGGUAGGAGGCUCCGUGGGUCUCAGGUGGGCCGAGCUGUAGCACAGAAGCCUCCACCCGCAGCGAGCGAUGAUGCUGUGGGGGGUGGGGUGGCAGCAGCAGGUGGGGGGCACAGGACAAGCGGGGCUGGCACGUGUCGCGGGGGGAAAGCCCUAGGAACAGCGCAGCCCCUCCGCCUGGCACGUCCCUCUUAGGAGUCGUCGUACAGGGGGUUGUUGUAGUUCCCCCAGGAGCCGUAGUCCUGGUCGUCCAAGAGCCGUCCAUACGAGG
rnacentral:lncRNA from 1 species